AGGACGAACGCUGGCGGCGUGCUUAACACAUGCAAGUCGAGCGGUAAGGCCUUUCGGGGUACACGAGCGGCGAACGGGUGAGUAACACGUGGGUGAUCUGCCCUGCACUUCGGGAUAAGCCUGGGAAACUGGGUCUAAUACCGGAUAUGACCUCCUAUCGCAUGGUGGGUGGUGGAAAGAUUUAUCGGUGCAGGAUGGGCCCGCGGCCUAUCAGCUUGUUGGCGGGGUAAUGGCCUACCAAGGCGACGACGGGUAGCCGACCUGAGAGGGUGACCGGCCACACUGGGACUGAGACACGGCCCAGACUCCUACGGGAGGCAGCAGUGGGGAAUAUUGCACAAUGGGCGAAAGCCUGAUGCAGCGACGCCGCGUGAGGAUGACGGCCUUCGGGUUGUAAACCUCUUUCAGCAGGACGAAGCGCAAGUGGCGUACCUGCAGAAGAAGCAACCGGCUAACUACGUGCCAGCAGCCGC
rnacentral:rRNA from 1 species